rnacentral:rRNA from 1 species
GACGAACGCUGGCGGCGUGCUUAACACAUGCAAGUCGAACGGAAAGGCCCUGCUUUUGUGGGGUGCUCGAGUGGCGAACGGGUGAGUAACACGUGAGUAACCUGCCCUUGACUUUGGGAUAACUUCAGGAAACUGGGGCUAAUACCGGAUAGGAGCUCCUGCUGCAUGGUGGGGGUUGGAAAGUUUCGGCGGUUGGGGAUGGAAUCGCGGCUUAUCAGCUUGUUGGGGGGGUAGUGGCUUACCAAGGCUUUGACGGGUAGCCGGCCUGAGAGGGUGACCGGCCACAUUGGGACUGAGAUACGGCCCAGACUCCUACGGGAGGCAGCAGUGGGGAAUAUUGCACAAUGGGCGGAAGCCUGAUGCAGCAACGCCGCGUGCGGGAUGACGGCCUUCGGGUUGUAAACCGCUUUCGCCUGUGACGAAGCGUGAGUGACGGUAAUGGGUAAAGAAGCACCGGCUAACUACGUG